rnacentral:lncRNA from 10 species
AACCUUUGCUGUCUUGGGACGGAUCACCGCUGCAAGAGGGGAAGUUGCUACUGUGAUGAAUUCUGCCAUGUGGCACCAGACUGCCACCCAGACCACAGUGUCCUCUGCAACCCUGGUAACUCACAUACAGGCCCGAUUCCACCUACAGCAAAGCUGGAUGCGAUGGCUGGCAGAGGCAAACCCUUUGCCUGCACUUCAGGCCAAAGCCGGGAUGUGGCCUAGAUGGUUCCUAAGGUCCCUGACAAUCCUGAGAUCUUGCAUCUUGUCUAUUUCAGGUCAAAGCUUCUCAGAUGACCAAGAUGGUGCUGCAGAUGGUGCUGAGGAUGGAGAACCCACCAAGCCCCGCUAGGAGCCACCUAGACUGGAUGCAGAGCAUGUUUCGCUCUUGUUGCCCAGGUUGGAGUGUAGUGCUGCGAUCUCAGAUCACCACAACCUCCGCCUCCCAGGUUCAGGCGAUUCUCCUGCCUCAGCCUCCUGAGUAGCUGGGAUUACAGGCACGCACCACCAUGCCCGGCUCAUUUUGUGUUUUUAGUAAAGACGGGAUUUCUCCAUGUUGGUCAGGCUGGUCUC